UGAUUUAUUUAAAAAUUCGUUUGUGUUUGUGUCGUGUUUAGUUGCUUAGCAACCAAAACUUGUCACUUUUUCUUUAAUCAGUUGUCACUAUGUUUUAAUAAUUGUAUUGUAUUGAAAUGUGCAAUUAAUAUCGUUUUUUAAAGAUUAAGGAGAUAGAAUCGAAGAAAAAAUUAAUUCAUCUCAGUUUCCUGGGACACUUAACAUCACUCCAUUUCUGCAUCAGUCCAUUAACCUUUGCUCUAGAGGUAAAAUAUCUUGGAUAAAGGAUUGAUUUGGAAAUCACAGUACUUGGAAAACCAAAAAAACAACAAUUGUACUCACCCAAUGUCAAAGGGCAUAAUCCCCAUAUAGUCUUACGACACUGCAGGUUAUGUAAGCAUAUGUUCUAUAUAAAGCUGGCAAACACAUCCCUUUGUGAAGGGUGUGAAAUGGAAGAUCAGACGGUAAGGCAUAUUGUUUGUGACUGUCCCAACCUCAAUUUUGGACAUAAAGAACAUACCCUCUGUUCUAUAUUAAUGUUCAUUAAAAUCUUAGGCUGGUUUUCAUAUCCCUGAAUGAACUGUACAUUGUGGGGAAGUACAAAGGGCCCGCUGGGCCUAAGUGCUGUGAAAGAAUUCAUUCCCACAUGCAUAAAAGUAAACAAAAAUAAAAUUAUUUUGAUUAAUAAAUUUUAUAAUUUACCUUGUAUUUCACUGUAAAGCAACAAAAAUGACUUGAUAGUUAUUUGGGUUGCAUAUCUUAUUGGGUUAAAUAUUAAUAUUUUUUUAAUUUAAUUAAAUCCCUACAACUUUUCAACACGCUAAAAUUAAUAUGAAAUUAAUAAAGCUCGAAUUAAACGAAACUUUAUGGCACGAAUUCGCCUCAAAUUUAAACGCAAUAAUGAACUCUAGCUUUUAGUUAUUAGUCACGUUAUUAUGACGGAAAUAUCAUUUCCUUUCACCGUAAACUUUAUUAAAACGUUUUAAUAAAACGAUAUUUUCCGAAA